UACGUAGGAGGCGAGCGUUGUCCGGAAUUACUGGGCGUAAAGCGCGCGUAGGCGGUUCUUUGCGUAGGCGGUGAAAGCCCCCGGCUCACCUGGGGGAGUGCCGCCUAAACGGGGGAACUUAGAGGGCGGUAGGGGCUGGCGGAACGCCCGGAGUAGCGGUGAAAUGCGUUGAGAUCGGGCAGAACACCAGUGGCGAAGGCGGCCAGCUGGGCCGACCCUGACGCUGAGGCGCGAAAGCCAGGGGAGCGAACGGA
rnacentral:rRNA from 1 species